rnacentral:lncRNA from 1 species
GCCUUCCAGGGAUACUUUGAUUCUUUCACUCUGAAAGAAAGAGCAGAGAGGACCUACCUGUGGACAACCAGACACAAAUUAGGGCCCAAAGCAAAGAAGGGUCCAGGAUGGAGUUCGGAACACAGACAGGGAGAGGUCAUUUGAGGUCUAGGAGAAGGACACCCUAAAGCUAUCCCUUGAAAACCAUGAGUCUAUGAGCAGAGGAUCCCAGGGGCUGCCACUUGGUACUGCAGAACCACAGGAGCUGGGAGCUAAGUGGCCUCCUACAGGAGUACUGACCAGUGGAUGGUGUUGGCCUCUCAGCAGGACCUGCGUUCUUUCCAUUACCCAGUGGGUCAGCUCGGCAAUGGCCAUAUUCAUUCACUCAAUAAAUAUUGAGCAUCUACUAUGUGUCAGGCACUGUUCACUGUUCUAAGCACUGGGGAUACAACA